rnacentral:rRNA from 1 species
GUGGGGAAUCUUGCGCAAUGGGCGAAAGCCUGACGCAGCCAUGCCGCGUGAAUGAUGAAGGUCUUAGGAUUGUAAAAUUCUUUCACCGGGGACGAUAAUGACGGUACCCGGAGAAGAAGCCCCGGCUAACUUCGUGCCAGCAGCCGCGGUAAUACGAAGGGGGCUAGCGUUGCUCGGAAUUACUUGGCGUAAAGGGCGCGUAGGCGGAUCGUUAAGUCAGGGGUGAAAUCCCAGAGCUCAACUCUGGAACUGCCCUUGAUACUGGCGAUCUUGAGUGUGAGAGAGGUAUGUGGAACUCCGAGUGUAGAGGUGAAAUUCGUAGAUAUUCGGAAGAACACCAGUGGCGAAGGCGACAUACUGGCUCAUUACUGACGCUGAGGCGCGAAAGCGUGGGGAGCAAACAGGAUUAGAAACCCGGGUAGUCC